AGGACGAACGCUGGCGGCGCGCUUAACACAUGCAAGUCGAGCGAGAACCAGUCCUUCGGGACUGGGGACAGCGGCGAACGGGUGAGUAACACGUGGGUAAUCUGCCCUCGAUUCUGGGAUAGCCCGGGGAAACCCGGAUUAAUACCGGAUAGCCUCUCGAGCUUACGAGCUCGUGAGAAAAGGUAGCUUCGGCCUCCGAUCGAGGAUGAGCCCGCGGCGGAUUAGCUUGUUGGUGGGUAAUGGCCUACCAAGGCGACGAUCCGUAGCUGGUCUGAGAGGACGAUCAGCCACACUGGGACUGAGACACGGCCCAGGCUCCUACGGGAGCAGCGAGUGGGAAUCUUGCGCGAAUGGGCGAAAGCCUGACGCAGCGACGCCGCGGUGGGGAAGAAGGCCUUCGGUUGUAAACCUCUUCAGCGAGGACGAACGCCGACGUCGGUUAAUAGCCCAGGACGGUGACGGUACCGUAG
rnacentral:rRNA from 1 species